rnacentral:rRNA from 1 species
GACGAACGCUGGCGGCGUGCCUAAUACAUGCAAGUCGAACGAACCGCGACUAGGUGCUUGCACUUGGUCAAGGUGAGUGGCGAACGGGUGAGUAACACGUGGGUAACCUACCUCAUAGUGGGGGAUAACAGUCGGAAACGACUGCUAAUACCGCAUAGGACAUGGGAUCACAUGAUUCUGUGAGGAAAGGUGGCGCAAGCUAUCGCUAAGAGAUGGACCCGCGGUGCAUUAGCUAGUUGGAAGGGUAACGGCCUACCAAGGCGAUGAUGCAUAGCCGACCUGAGAGGGUGAUCGGCCACAUUGGGACUGAGACACGGCCCAAACUCCUACGGGAGGCAGCAGUAGGGAAUCUUCCGCAAUGGACGCAAGUCUGACGGAGCAACGCCGCGUGAGUGAAGAAGGUCUUCGGAUCGUAAAGCUCUGUUGUUAGAGAAGAACAGCGCAUAGAGUAACUGUUAUGCGUGUGACGGUAUCUAACCAGAAAGCCACGGCUAACUACGUG